AACGAACGCUGGCGGCGCGUCUUAAGCAUGCAAGUCGAACGGCAAGAGAGGAGCUUGCUUCUCUCCUAGAGUGGCGGACUGGUGAGGAACACGUGGGUAAUCUACCCUUAAGAUGGGGAUAGCUGCUAGAAAUAGCAGGUAAUACCGAAUACACUCGGCAUAUCACAAGAGGUGUUGAGGAAAGGAAGCUACGGCUUCGCGUGAGGAUGAGCUUGCGUCCCAUUAGCUAGUUGGUGAGGUAAAGGCCCACCAAGGCGACGAUGGGUAUCCGGCCUGAGAGGGUGAACGGACACAUUGGGACUGAGAUACGGCCCAAACUCCUACGGGAGGCAGCAGCUAAGAAUAUUCCGCAAUGGACGGAAGUCUGACGGAGCGACGCCGCGCGGAUGAAGAAGGCUGAAAAGUUGUAAAAUCCUUUUGUUGAUGAAGAAUAAGGGUGAGAGGGAAUGCUCAUCUGAUGACGGUAAUCGACGAAUAAGCCCCGGCUAAUUACGUG
rnacentral:rRNA from 1 species